rnacentral:rRNA from 1 species
CAGCCGCCACGGUAAUACGGAGGGUGCAAGCGUUAAUCGGAAUUACGGGGCGUAAAGCGUGCGUAGGCGGUUCGUUAAGUCUGUUAUGAAAGCCCCGGGCUCAACCUGGGAAUGGCAAUGGAUACUGGCGAGCUAGAGUGUGUCAGAGGAUGGUGGAAUUCCCGGUGUAGCGGUGAAAUGCGUAGAGAUCGGGAGGAACAUCAGUGGCGAAGGCGGCCAUCUGGGACAACACUGACGCUGAGGCACGAAAGCGUGGGGAGCAAACAGGAUUAGAUACCCGCGUAGUCCCUGUCUCUUAUAC